AGCUGAAGAUGUCUACAGACCGGGUACAAUUAAGGCCAGGCUCACGAAAGACAGGGCUGGGAGGUGUGGAGAGCAUCUCCAUAGUGUGUUCCUAGGAGCCUUUCAAGAGGAAGAAUGCUCUGGUGACAUCACUGAUGGCAAAGGUUAGCCUAAAAGUAAAAUGAAAUCAUCCGGCCAGGCAGACCCUGCGGGAGAAUCAAGCCUUGUAAUUAGAUUGAAGCCUCCUAGGAAACGGAGCCCUGUUGCAGGAAAAGCGUUUGCAGAAGCUAAUUAGGAGACUGGGAAGUCCAAGAUCAAGGCCCUGGAAGAGUCUGUGUUGAUGAGAGCCUGCUUCCCAUAGACAGCUAUCUUUUGCUAUAACUUCACCUGUGGAAGGGGCUAGGGAGCUCCUGGGAUCCCUUUCAUAAAGACAUUAAUCCCAUUCAUGAGGGCAGAGUCCUCAUGAUCUAAUCACCUCCAAAGGCCCCGACCCCUAAUACUAUCACCUGUGGGAGUUAAGA
ensembl:lncRNA